UACGGAGGGGGCUAGCGUUGUUCGGAAUUACUGGGCGUAAAGGGCGCGUAGGCGGCCUGGUAAGUAGGGGGUGAAAUCCUGCGGCUUAACCGCAGGGCUGCCUUCUAAACUGUCAGGCUCGAGCACGGUAGAGGCAGAUGGAAUUCCCGGUGUAGCGGUGGAAUGCGUAGAGAUCGGGAAGAACAUCAGUGGCGAAGGCGGUCUGCUGGGCCGUUGCUGACGCUGAGGCGCGACAGCGUGGGGAGCAAACAGG
rnacentral:rRNA from 1 species